CAAAUCUUAGUAGACCAGUUUCCAAUAUCCUCAUCAUUAGUUUGUUCUCUGUGGGCUUCACUGGUCUAAUAGUUAAAUUUCUAGAUUUGAAUUUUAAGUUCUCUAUGGUUUGAGGCUUUGAGCUUUACUUUUUCCAGUUCAAGCUUGGUUCUGUUCAAUUGUGUAGUUUCGGGUAGACAGAAUGAAAUUCAAAUAUGAGUAAGGGAUAUCCAUUAAUCUUCCGAGGAGGGAAUAGUGAAUACAUUCUGAUUUGGUGGAGAAAAAAAGAAGGAUCAAAUGCAUGAAGUUUAUGAACCAUGCAAUACAAUACAGACGUUUACAGAUCACAAGGAAGGGCACAAACAAGUACACCAGCAGAGCAUCUUGAAUGGUGAUUUUCUCAUCAACUGUUGCAGCUCUGUCUUCAUCUAUUCCAGGGUAAUGUAAGGGAUCGUUUACACUGGUAUAUUAAACAACUGAAGUGAACUUUCUGUGCAUCAAAGAGAGGGAGGUAAUACUCUAUUUCCUAUAUUUUCAUUAUUGUUGUCCCCUGUUGAAAUGAAGAGGAUUAUAUGUUACUCUUUUACAUUGAAUAAAAUAAGAAAGUAUUUAUUGACUUUAGGCUUUAGGUUGUUUAUACAUCAUUAAUUAGUUGCUUUAUUAUUUUACUACCUUGCAUGAUGAAGCAGUGGGAUGAAAGCUAAUUUCAGAAAUUGGAACUCUUAGAAAUAUUAUAUAACUUAAUUGUCUUUGCCUAGGUCCUAAGUAGCUCUCCGAGGCAAUUCUUUAGCUCUUCAAUUAUGUCAUGUCGAAUUGCAUUCUUUUUUUCUAGGUCACUAUCUCUAGGGAUGACAUUGUCAUUCUUGACUGUGCUGGUUGGAGACAAAGAUGAAAGGUGUGAAUAUGUUGUUGAGCUUGCAUAUAAACUAAUAUCAACAUAAGAGACAUAAUUACUAUCCAAAAUGUGUUAUUGAAUAUAUGUUGGUCAUCUGUAUUUUGACAUAUUAAAUUAGUACUAAUUGUGUUGAGAACACCUUAUCAUGACAAAGAGAAGUUAUAGGAAGGAUUAACUAUGCUUUUUUUAAUUACCCCAAAAAUAAAUAACAACUUUUUGUAUAUGGACUUUGCAACUUUUAGUUUGGGAUAACUAUUCAAGGAACUUUUCUUUUCUUUUAGUCUUAAGUUCUUUUAUAUGUCACUCUCUCUAAUUUCUAUUUAUGAACUUUUUGUACAAUUUUGUUUUGCCAACGGAGAUUUAAGUAUCGAGUUCAGGGUGAGAACAUUUCGUUGUAUUUAAGAUAUGUAUGAUAUUAAUUACUAAUAUUUUUCACUACCUAUAGAUAUUUUAUUCGUCUAAUUGCUACUGAUUGAAUAUUUAUCCUAUUUUUCUAAAUAUAACUUUUUUUAUUUACGCUUCAGAUGUUCCGGAUUCAACUCUUUGGUGCUCUAAUUUGAAAAGCGACAUCAAAAACUACAAACAUGCUUCACAAGCAAGGUAAUACCCUCAUUCACCUUAUCAUUUUUUUUCCAAAUGCCGGUAUUCAAUUAAUCACAUAUUGUCUUGUAUGAAGAAAAACAAUUGUGACGUAGAGAGUUGCAUUAUGAAAUGCUAUGUGUGAAUCUUUUCUCUGAAAUUCAGUUAGAGUUGAACAAAGUCAAUAAAACUUCAUAGUAGAGUUGUCAAAUUGGAUGUAGAUAUAUACAUCGUAGAGGCCAGGCAUGUUGCCUCUUAGGACAUUGUAUACUCAACUAGCAGUUGCUCCUUCAAGGUAAGCUACCAAGUCACGGUUAGAUUCAAAAUUCUAUAAUUUAAUUGCAUUUACUUAAUGACUUGCUACCAUACUUUCUUAAGGAGAGGAUUGGUAACUGUUCAUGUUACGAACAGUGCAGGGACUGAAGAAUUAGUGUAAAAUUAAAAAAUUGGUGUGGCUGUUGCUCUUUCUCAAUAGACUGUCUUUUUUUUAAUUUUUUUUACCUUUGUUCUCGAUAUGAGUAUACUACUAAAUGCUACCAGAUAACGAAAU
rnacentral:lncRNA from 1 species